AAACCGGGAUUAAUACCCCAUGAUACUGAACCAUUACAUGAUGGAUCAGUUAAAGCGUAAAGCGGUGAAUGAUGGUCUUGCGUCCCAUUAGCUAGUUGGUGAGAUAAAAGCUCACCAAGGUAACGAUGGGUAGCCGGCCUGAGAGGGUGAUCGGCCACACUGGAACUGAGAACGGUCCAGACUCCUACGGGAGGCAGCAGUGGGGAAUAUUGCACAAUGGAGGAAACUCUGAUGCAGCGACGCCGCGUGAAUGAUGAAGGCUUUCGAGUCGUAAAAUUCUGUCCUUGGGGAAGAUAAUGACGGUACCCAAGGAGGAAGCUCCGGCUAACUACGUGCCAGCAGCCGCGGUAAUACGUAGGGAGCGAGCGUUGUCCGGAUUUAUUGGGCGUAAAGGGUUCGCAGGCGGCCUUAUAAGUCAGAUGUUAAAGACCAUAGCUUAACUAUGGAAAGCAUUUGAAACUGUAUGGCUUGAGUCAAGGAGAGGAAAGUGGAAUUCCUAGUGUAGCGGUGAAAUGCGUAGAUAUUAGGAAGAAUAC
rnacentral:rRNA from 1 species